GGUUGGUCAUUCUUUUUCACUUUUGAAAGACCAUUGAAGAAUCUAUAGCAGGGGACAGUUAUGUUGCAAUUUUAUUUUUGCUACAAACUGAAAACACUUUGGCACAGCUACUUAACCUAUUUCUGUUUUCCUUAAUACAAAUAGAGCUUUCGGCUUAAUCUAGUAAUGUCGAAUAGAGGAAAGCAAAAGAGCAGUGCCAUUUUGUUAACUUUUUUUAAGUGGAGUCAUAUAAUUUUUCAGUGAUAUUUGGAGACACAACUAUCAUAUACAUAAAAAAAAGAAAAAACCUGUCUACAAAAAUACUGCUUAUACAUGCGAUAGAACACUUUUUGUUGUUGCAAAUUCAGCAUAUGAAGAAAUAGCCCAAUAAAUGGAAACUUGAAACUAAUAACAUAUUUGAUUCUUCUCCACCCACCUUUGUGGGAGAGUAAUUCUUAACCCUUGAUCCCUUUGGAAAAGCACAGAUAGAAUUAUUAAAUUCCAUCAAACCUUUCAUAGUAUUGUUAGUUUAUAGAGCAUAUGACCACUUUGGACAUUUAACAGUUUUUAUCUGCACAGUAUUCUUACAUGAUGAGAAAUUUUCCUUGAUAUUUCUUAAUUCUCAGAGAUUCAACUGGGAUGAGUCUUAUGACAUGACUGCCGCUGUACAAAUGUAGAAAGAAACUUAGGCAGAAGAGGAACAGUUUCAACAAAAAAAUACAGGAUGUUUUAUAUUUUUUCUUUCAGUGAGUUAUACCAAUCAUCCUGGAAGGAGAAUUAUAAUCCAAAGGAGUGACAGUACUGUAAUGGUGACUUCCCUUCACAAACUCCAGCUGAAUCUUCCUUGGAGGACUGCUCUCCCUCCCUGACACCCGAAAAGGUUUACCACCAGCUUUUUAAAAAAAACAUAAAAAGCUUUGAAGAUGACGACGCAUAAGCAUCGUAAACUCACCAACGUGGGAUUUCUAGCUGCAUAUGGAGCUGCCUCUGAGAAUAACCUGAAAACUGGCUGAGUGCUGUCUACACACCAACAACAAGAGAAGGCCCGCACUGAAGCAGGAACCAUCUCUCCCCAGCUACCUCACUCCAGCCAGUUGGUACUGUCUUCAUGCCCACCCUCUGCCAUGCUCCAGAGCACCAGCAUCUCCUUGAGGGGAGCUGUCACACAUCUGGUGCCCGAGGUUUAAUGUCUAUGAGGCAAUUCAGGAUGGCAGCCUAGGAUCAUGAAUUCACCUCUUGGAGACAAUCUUACCAUAACCCCAGGCCCAGUGCAGCUACCCACCAUCAGGAGGAAGCUCAUAAACCCAGAGCUUCUCUCAGAGUAGCCAAGAGAGAAGUAGCUUUUGUAUACCAUGUAAGGCACCUCAGCUUUUAAGACCUUCACCUGAGAGAUGAACCCUCAAGGCACCUGGCUUUCAAAACCAACAGGCUUGCAGCCAUGGGACCCAGAAGCCUGUAGUGAAAGGAAAAUGGCUCCUAAAGAGCUCAUGAGUACUCACUCAUCGCAGGACCCAGCACAGAAGUGCAACUCUCUGAAAGAUGCCCAGGUUCAGUGUGAAGAAAGUCCAUCAACUAAUCUUCAGGUGUUGGCCAGAGAGGCAGGGACCUGCUGGGAUACUCUCUGGGGAUGGAAGCUGGUGAGUCCCAUCUCUGAGCUCUGCCUGCACUGCACUUCAGAACACCAGUAUCUCCUGGAGGGGAACUUUUACAUCUGUCUGGUGUCCUGGGUUUUGUGGCUGCUACCCAGGGGGAUACCCCUUGAGUGUUUGUUUGUUUGGCUCUGGAGGCUCUGGGACUUAUAUUCCUGGGUCUGUGGAACUGUGACAUUUGGAGAGACAGUUCUUGGCAGACAACCACUCCCAGAGAACCAGACAGCAGACUGAGACACACUCCCAGUCUUUCUAAGAAUGGGGCUAUUUGCUUGUCCGGGAGCUUUGGCCUGAGUGGCAGGAUUACUAUCUGGCUCGCUUAGAGGAGCCUAUGGAAGGGCUGUCAGGAGACAGUGGAGGCUGGAGGAUGCAGUCGUUGCCUUCUCCAGCCGGCCAGCAUCUCCCAGAGCCUUGUCUGGUGCCCCAGUGUUUGCAACUGCUCUCAGGAGGCACCCCUACAUUGCCUAGUUCUGGUGGCCAGAGGGCCUGAUGUUUGCAGGUUCUAAAGGACUGUGACCAAUGGAGAAAAGAGUUCUGACACCCUCAGGGCACAGCAAAAAGUACAGACCAAGGAGCUUAGUCUCUCUGAAACAGGCCGGUAAGCUUAUGGCUGCAGCCUGAGGGGCAGGCUUCUAAUUAAACACACAUCUAAGAGCUGACUGUGAACCCUCCAGACACCUCAGAGGGCAUUCUUACACAUGUCUUACACAUGUGCCCCAGUUUUUGCAGCUGCCACCCAGGGGAUACCCCUCAACCACCUGAGUCUGGAGGUCAGGGGAGCUGGUGUGCCUGGUUCCGCUAGAACUGUAACACUCAAGAGACAGGUCUCAGCAAGCUGCCCCCACCAGGGCACUGCACAAACAGGAGACUGAAAUGCACCCCCAGUGUUUCUAUGAAAGACUCCUACGUGCUUGUUCUGGAGCUUUGGCCUGAGGCACCACUUUCAGCUUUGGUACACAUCUGAAGGCCUGUGGAGGGACUCUCAGGGAGCAGAGGCCAGGGGGUGCUGUCAUUGUCACUCUCCCUCACCACAGCUCAUCAGUUAUCUCCCAGAAAGGAGCUUACAAACUAACCCAAAGCCCCAAUUUUUGUGACUGUCACCCAGGGGACACCUCCAGAUCCUCUGGCAGCCAGCUGGGCCUACAUUUGCAGCCCCACUGUAUGUAUUUGCUUUAAAAGCUGCAGCCCAAAGGGCUGACUUUCAGUGAGCCUGAGUCUAGGUGCUGACUGAGCGCCUCCUGUUCGAGACACCCACAGGUCUUGGCACAUCCUCAACUACUGAGAGCUAAGGCAAAGUUGGAUAAUAAGGUUCAUCUUCUACACAAGACUGCUACUUCCAGGCUGGGAGAGGUGGCUCUUUCAUCUAACACAUAGGACCCUACAUAGAGAUUCAAGCAAAAUGAGGGACAUGUUUCAAAUGGAAGAACAGGAUAAACCUCAGGGGAAAAAGUCCUUAAUGAAACAGAUGUUAUUUACCUGAUAAGGAGUUCAAAGUCAUGCUCAUAAAUAUGCUCACCAAAUUCAGAAUAGUAUGGAUGAACACAGUGAGAACAUCAAUGAAGAAAUAACAGAUGAAGUACCAAAUAGAAGACACAGAGCUGAAGCAUAAAAUAAUAUACUAGAGGGAUUCAACAGCAAGCUAGAUGAAAAAGAAUACAAAGGAUCAGUGAAACAUGCUAACGUUUGCACUAUAGGGAGUCAUAGACAAGGAGAGAAAAUAGGGCAGGAAAUGUGUUUUAAGAAAUAAUGGCUGACAACUUCCCUAAUCUGGGGAAGGAAACACGUACAGAUCCAGGAAGCCUGGGGAGUUCCAAAUAAGAGAAACCCAGAGACCCCCAUCAAGCCAUAUAAUUAAAAUAUGAAAAGUUAAAGACAGGUAUAAUGAAAGCAUCAAGAGACUUAACAACUUUUCAUAUACAAGAGAAUCUCCAGAAGACUGGCAGAUUUUUGAGGAGAAACUUCACAGACCUGAAAGGAAAAGAAAAAAACUUCCAAACAAGAAUACUCAGUUAAGCUAUCCUUCAGAACUGAAAAAUUGUUUUCCAGACAAGCAAAAGCCAAGAGUUUAUCAUCACUAAACUGGCCUUAUGACAGAUGUCAAAGAGAUUUCUUUCAGCCAAAAAACUGCUAUAAGUAGCAAGAAAACACAUGAACGUGCAAAUGUCACUAAUAAAGGUAAAUACAUAAUAAAAUGUAGUGGAUUAAUCAUUUAUAAAACUAUUAUGACAAUUAAACAACAAAUAUAGUAAAAUUAUAAUAGGUAUACACAGCAUACUAAUUUAAAGAAGGUAAAAUGUAACAUAUGAAACAUGGGAAACAGUAAAAAUCUAGAACUUUCAAAUGCAUUCAAACUUAAGUUUUUAUAAGUAAGCCUCACAGUAAUCGUAUAGCAAAAGCCGACAGUAGAUAUACAGAGCAAUAAUUACUUUAAAUGAACUAAAUUUUCCAAUCCAAAUACAUAGAGUGGCUGAGUGAAUUAAAAAAAACAAGCCUCUUCUAUAUGCUGCCUUUGAGAGAUGAAGUCAGAUGUGAGGACACAUGAGACUAAACGUCAAGGGAUGAAAAAAAAAUAUUCCAUGCAAAUGGAAAUCCAAAGAAAGCAAGGGAAGCUAUAACUUACAUAAGACAG